GAUCAUGGCUCAGGAUGAACGCUAGCUACAGGCUUAACACAUGCAAGUCGAGGGGAAACGACAUCGAAAGCUUGCUUUGAUGGGUGUCGACCGGCGCACGGGUGAGUAACGCGUAUCCAACCUGCCCACCACUUGGGGAUAACCUUGCGAAAGUAAGACUAAUACCCAAUGAUAUCCCACGAAGGCAUCGGAAUGGGAUUAAAGAUUUAUCGGUGAUGGAUGGGGAUGCGUCUGAUUAGCUUGUUGGCGGGGUAACGGCCCACCAAGGCGACGAUCGGUAGGGGUUCUGAGAGGAAGGUCCCCCACAUUGGAACUGAGACACGGUCCAAACUCCUACGGGAGGCAGCAGUGAGGAAUAUUGGUCAAUGGACGCAAGUCUGAACCAGCCAAGUAGCGUGCAGGAUGACGGCCCUAUGGGUUGUAAACUGCUUUUAUGCGGGGAUAAAGUGUGGGACGUGUCCCAUAUUGUAGGUACCGCAUGAAUAAGGACCGGCUAAUUCCGUG
rnacentral:rRNA from 1 species